rnacentral:rRNA from 1 species
GACGAACGCUGGCGGCGUGCCUAAUACAUGCAAGUAGAACGCUGAAGAGAGGAGCUUGCUCUUCUUGGAUGAGUUGCGCACGGGUGAGUAACGCGUAGGUAACCUGCCUUGUAGCGGGGGAUAACUAUUGGAAACGAUAGCUAAUACCGCAUAACAAUGGAUUACACAUGUCUUUUAUUUGAAAUGGGCAAUUGCUCUACUACAAGAUGGACCUGCGUUGUAUUAGCUAGUAGGUGAGGUAAUGGCUCACCUAGGCGAGGAUACAUAGCCGACCUGAGAGGCUGAUCGGCCACACUGGGACUGAGACACGGCCCAGACUCCUACGGGAGGCAGCAGUAGGGAAGCUUCGGCAAUGGGAGCAACCCUGACCGAGCAACGCCGCGUGAGUGAAGAAGGUUAUCGGAUCGUAAAGCUCAGUUGUAAGUCAAGAGCGGGUGUGAGAGUGGAAAGUUCACACUGUGACGGUAGCUUACCAGAAAGGGACGGCUAACUACGUG